CGCAGAGUUCAUGGGGGGGAACUUAAAACUAAACAGAAACUGAAUAAUCAAGGGAUUGAGAUAACAUGGUGGUCAUAUGUGCAGAUACAAUCUAGAUAUAAGGAAGAUGUUAAAAUGUAUGGUUUAAAUAAAGAAUUAACAGAAC